UUGACAUCGAAACAUAAUAGCAGAGCUUCGAUUUAUAGUAUAUCUCAAAUUUGUAGCGCUCAGUUCAAAUGAUUCAACGGUGACAGGCUAUGGAGGAGAACUAAUACGCACGCAGACAUGUUAUAAUUUAACGUGCAUCAACCAUUGGCACACCGCGCUUUUUUUUCUGGCUUUGGAUAACAAAAUAAUAAUAUUUUUCUCUAAGUGCGCUAUAGGCUACGUGAUAAAACAAUAACAAUUGCAUACUGUAGUACCGUAGAAGGGAAAAGACGGAAAUGAACAGGGAAUAGAAGUGUAGGACUUAACUGGUUUUAUCCGUGAAAAGUGACACCAAAAGGUCAUCGUAGCCUGCCUGUCUGUCAUCAGCCUUCUCUAAAAGUUUGAUGUUACUCUUUCAAGAUUAAGCUGCUGGUAAAACGAUCUCCAUCUUUGCCUAUUGUCGCUGGCGUUACAACUAUGGGAUGGAAAGAAACAAUUCAAAAGGAAAUGGGAACAGUGCGACCGCCGGUUGCGGUCAUAAUAAGCAGAUUGCCUUUCCUUUCCAUUAAACGUAAAGAUAUCUACUAGUGCUACAACUGCCACUAACAAUAUUAUGGUGAUGAUACACAUUUCUCUUACCAGAAAGCAGCACCAUGUUUACUGAAAUACCCUUUAUGUACAACCACGGUGAGGACUGUCUCCCGCAUCAAUUAGACAGCUCUCCGAAUUGCAGCAAAUAUUAGGCCCGAAGCAUUGGCCAGUUGAUCCAGGACCACACGGUGGACACUGUGAGUACUACACAAACGUUACUACGCCAGUUGUAUAACAAUGCAAUCGAAAGUAGUACGACAUAGGCCUAAAUUUUAGAGCGUCAGUCAAGAGUCAGAAUCAAAUAUUACGUAUAUUUGGAUGUUAGAUCGUACCGAAUGAGUAGCUGGUACGUUUGCUACCGUGAGUACAUUUGCUUUACGAUGAGAAGAAAUGAUCUGGGGCCGUAUUAAAAAUCCACUAACCUAUCAUUUUCGCAUCGUUAUUGAAAAAUUUGGUAGCAAUCAUGUUUGGCACGAAAUGAAUGACAUUUACUAUAACUUUACAGUUUGUUUUUCACUGCAUAGUAACUAGGGGAUGAUAUCGAUAUUGGUCUGAAAUUAUAACGUUAUUGUAGCUAGCAACACAUCUAUCGAACCAGAAUAAGAUCUGGUACAGGACAUCAUCCUUAUCAUUUCGACUGUUAUCUCCGUAUCUACUUUAAUACGGGCGGCCUCUAAAAGGAGACAUGAUUCGAACACAAAAUUCAUUUUCUUUAACAUUCAAUAGGAAAGCACUGCGUCGUUUUAAUGUUUAACACGCAAAAUGUUGCUGCCGCCGUUUUAUAAGGAAAUCAGUAUGUUACUAUACAAAGAUUUGGUGAUAAACCUCUUCGGCCUUUUAGUUCUUUUAGGUCAAUGUUUAAAGCUUCCAUGUCUGUUCGUCUGACUACACAUGGCCUAGAUGAGUAACACGGAGUCUCCACCUCGCGAAGCAAGAGUUGACUCCAAAACCCGAGUAGAUCUGCG